rnacentral:rRNA from 1 species
UGCCAGUACAAUAUGCUUGUCUCAAAGAUUAAGCCAUGCAAGUGUAGGAAAGCUAUCACAUAGGGAAAUUUAACCUUAUGAUGAUUUAGAUAUCUGUAGAUUGCUCAUUAAAAGAGUUUUAUGCUCAGCCACUGGUAGUAUGGAGAGUUUUUUAAAUUUUUCAUUAAAAGGAUAACGCUGUUAACCUCUGCGAUAAUACUUGAUAUAAAAUAAAUAGUGAGUGAAUUAACAUUAGCUAUUUAGUAGUAGAUUAGCGAUGAAAUCGCAUCUAUUAAAACCGUAUUAUUAAUUUUUGAAAUCAGGGUUUCUAAUCUUGAGAGUAAAUUGUUAAAUGAUUGGUUAUUGACCGACUUGAUACAAAAAUGGAUUCUUUGCCUAGAUUUUAAUAGGUUUAGGAAUGAAGAGUUCAAAAAGUUGGCCCAGAGGAAGCGAUUCUUACCUAUCAGUUUCUGUCGUUUCAGUAAGGGUGAAACUUGACUAUUACGGGUACGGGGAAUUAGUGUUUAAAUCCGGAGAGGGAGCCUGAGAAAUAGCUACCACAUCUAAGGACGGCAGCAGGCGCGAAAAUUACCCAAUACUAAUACAGUGAGGUAGUGACGAGAAAUAACGACCUUCUAUUUAGAAGGGUACCGGUCAAACGGUUUGAAAUGGUGAUGGAUCAAAAUUCUAUCAGAGCAACAAUUGGAGGAAAAGUCUGGUGCCAGCACCCGCGGUAAUUCCAGCUCCAAUAGUGUAUUUUAAAGUUGUUGCGGUUAAAACGCUCGUAGUUAAUUUAAGAGAGUGGUGAAUGUAGAAUUGCAUUUUGAAUUUGCCAUAUUAGAUUUUAUCUAAUAACUCAACUGUGAGAAAAACAAAAUGCUCAAAAUAAACAAUUUUGGUUAAUUUAUUAACCUUGUUUGAAUGUUAUAACAUGGUAUUGAGAGAAAGUGAUUUAGUUUUCGAAUUAAAUUACGUUACGAUUGGGAGAUAGGGGGAGGGUUCCGGUAUUGCUUCGUCAGAGGUGAAAUUCAAUGACCGAGGCAAGACUAGCAGAUGCGAAAGCUGUAAUACCCACCACGCCUCCGUCAAUCAGGAACGAAAGUUAGGGGAUCGAAGAUUAUUAGAUACCAUUGUAGUCCUAACUGUAAACUAUAAUGACAAGAGAUUGG